rnacentral:rRNA from 1 species
GCGACAAGCGUGGAGCAUGUGGUUAAUUCGAUGAUACGCGAGGAACCUUACCUGGGCUCAAAUGUAUGUUGACGUAUUCUGAAAGGGAUACUUCUUCGGACAAUAUACAAGGUGCUGCAUGGUUGUCGUCAGCUCGUGCCGUGAGGUGUCGGGUUAAGUCCCAUAACGAGCGCAACCCUAUCAUUAGUUGCCAUCAGGUCAAGCUGGGGACUCUAAUGAAACUGCCUACGCAAGUAGUGAGGAAGGUGGGGAUGACGUCAAAUCAGCACGGCCCUUACGUCCAGGGCUACACACGUGCUACAAUGGCCGGUACAAAGGGCAGCUACCUGGUGACAGGAUGCUAAUCUCAAAAGCCGGUCUCAGUUCGGAUCGGAGUCUGCAACCCGACUCCGUGAAGUUGGAAUCGCUAGUAAUCGUGGAUCAGCAUGCCACGGUGAAUACGUUCCCGGGCCUU